GCCUGGCUGGCUCAGUCGCUAGAGUAUGUGACUGUUGAUCUCGGGGCUGUGAGUUCUAGCCCACCUCAGGUG
rnacentral:tRNA from 1 species